rnacentral:misc_RNA from 1 species
GAUGAAGAACGCAGUGAAAUGCGAUAAGUAAUGUGAAUUGCAGAAUUCAGUGAAUCAUCGAAUCUUUGAACGCACAUUGCGCCCCUUGGUAUUCCGGGGGGCAUGCCUGUUCGAGCGUCAUUAUAACCCCUCAAGCUCAGCUUGGUGUUGGGGCCUGCCAACUGGCAGCCCUUAAAAUCAGUGGCGGCGCCAUCUGGCUCUAAGCGUAGUAAUUUCUCUCGCUAUAGGGUCCCGGUGGAUGCUGGCCAACAACCCCCAAUUUUCUAUGGUUGACCUCGGAUCAGGUAGGGAUACCCGCUGAACUUAAGCAUAUCAAUAAGCGGAGGA